rnacentral:miRNA from 1 species
UAAUAUCGGGACUAGACGAC